rnacentral:rRNA from 1 species
GACGAACCGUCCGAACGUUAUUCGGAAUCACUGGGCUUAAAGGGCGCGUAGGCGGUUUGGUAAGUCAGCUGUGAAAGCCCGGGGCUCAACCCCGGAGGGUCGGCUGAUACUGCUAGGCUAGAGUACGGAAGAGGUAGCUGGAAUUCCCGGUGUAGCGGUGAAGUGCGUAGAUAUCGGGAGGAACACCUGAGGCGAAGGCGGGCUACUGGGCCGAUACUGACGCUGAUGCGCGAAAGCCAGGGGAGCAAACGGG